rnacentral:rRNA from 1 species
UACGGAGGGUGCAAGCGUUGUUCGGAAUUACUGGGCGUAAAGCGCGUGUAGGCGGUCGGGCAAGUCAGAUGUGAAAGCCUUCCGCUUAACGGAAGAAGUGCAUUUGAAACUACCAGGCUAGAGUACGGGAGAGGAGAGUGGAAUUCCCGGUGUAGAGGUGAAAUUCGUAGAUAUCGGGAGGAACACCAGUGGCGAAGGCGGCUCUCUGGUCCGAUACUGACGCUGAGACGCGAAAGCGUGGGGAGCAAACAGG